UGGUUCUGGCAUNGAUGAAGAACGCAGCGAAAUGCGAUAAGUAAUGUGAAUUGCAGAAUUCAGUGAAUCAUCGAAUCUUUGAACGCAUAUUGCGCCCUCUGGUAUUCCGGAGGGCAUACCUGUUCGAGCGUCAUUACACCCCUCAAAGACGACUCUUUGACGUUGGGCAAUGCCUAAAGGCAUGCCUCAAAAUCAGCGAUGGCGACAUCCCGCCGCAGGCGCACCAACGUGUCUGGCCGGCGGGACGUUGCCAGUCAAUUGAUGAAAUUCUCAACGUUGACCUCGGAUCAGGUAGGGAUACCCGCUGA
rnacentral:misc_RNA from 1 species